rnacentral:rRNA from 1 species
AUUGAACGCUGGCGGCAUGCUUUACACAUGCAAGUCGAACGGCAGCGCGGGCUUCGGCCUGGCGGCGAGUGGCGAACGGGUGAGUAAUACAUCGGAACGUGCCCAGUAGUGGGGGAUAGCUCGGCGAAAGCAGGAUUAAUACCGCAUACGACCUGAGGGUGAAAGCGGGGGAUCUUCGGACCUCGCGCUAUUGGAGCGGCCGAUGGCAGAUUAGCUAGUUGGUGGGGUAAAGGCCUACCAAGGCGACGAUCUGUAGCUGGUCUGAGAGGACGACCAGCCACACUGGGACUGAGACACGGCCCAGACUCCUACGGGAGGCAGCAGUGGGGAAUUUUGGACAAUGGGCGAAAGUCUGAUCCAGCAAUGCCGCGUGUGUGAUGAAGGCCUUCGGGUUGUAAAGCACUUUUGGCGGGAACGAAAAGGACUGUGCCAAUACCACGGUUCGAUGACGGUACCCGCAGAAUAAGCACCGGCUAACUACGUG